CAACUUUCAACAACGGAUCUCUUGGUUCUGGCAUCGAUGAAGAACACAUCGAAAUGCGAUACGUAGUGUGAAUUGCACAAUUCAGUGAAUCAUCAAAUCUUUGAACGCACAUUGCGCCCUUUGGUAUUCAAAAGGGCAUGCCUGUUCAAGCGUCAUUU
rnacentral:rRNA from 1 species